rnacentral:rRNA from 1 species
UACGUAGGGUGCAAGCGUUGUCCGGAAUUAUUGGGCGUAAAGAGCUCGUAGGCGGUCUGUCACGUCGGCUGUGAAAACCCGAGGCUCAACCUCGGGCCUGCAGUCGAUACGGGCAGACUAGAGUUCGGCAGGGGAGACUGGAAUUCCUGGUGUAGCGGUGAAAUGCGCAGAUAUCAGGAGGAACACCGAUGGCGAAGGCAGGUCUCUGGGCUGUAACUGACGCUGAGGAGCGAAAGCAUGGGGAGCGAACAGG